rnacentral:rRNA from 1 species
GGCGAACGGGUGAGUAACGCGUGAGCAAUCUACCUUAGUUACAGGGAUAGCCCGAGGAAACUCGGAUUAAUACCUGAUAUUCUUUAUUUCUCGCAUGAGAAUAAAAGGAAAGGUCAGCCGAAUUAAGAUGAGCUCGCGUUCUAUCAGCUAGUUGGUGAGGUAAAAGCUUACCAAGGCUACGACGGAUAGCUGGUCUGAGAGGACGAUCAGCCACACUGGGACUGAGACACGGCCCAGACUCCUACGGGAGGCUGCAGCAGGGAAUAUUGUGCAAUGAACGAAAGUUUGACACAGCGACACCGCGUGUGGGAUGACGGAUCUAGGUUUGUAAACCACUUUCAGGAGGGAAGAAAAUGACGGUACCUCCACAAGAAGCCCCGGCCAACUACGUGCCAGCAGCCGCGGUAAUACGUAGGGGGCGAGCGUUGUCCGGAUUUAUUGGGCGUAAAGAGCUC